rnacentral:lncRNA from 1 species
CGAUCGCAGACUCUGCUUCAAUAAAACGCGCGGUCUGUAUAGUAAGCGGCGCUCCUCGUCCUGUUCCCUGGAGCGGCUGCCCACGCCUUGCAGGGAGGCCCCUCUGGCGAAGGAGCGUCUUUGCUGUGGGUGUCAGUCCCGCCAGUGCGGGCAGCUAUCUUCUGCCGCUGCCGGAAGCGGUGGGCUGCGGACACCCGCGUCCCGCUACAGUCCCGGCACCUCCUGCAAGAGACUCGCAGCGAGCUGUCCCGUGAGAAACCGGCGCUUCCAGCUGGUACCUUCAUUUUAAUCUGCCUUGUUACACCGAGGCAGCUUUGAGAGACGUCAAAGUGCACCAAGCCUCAGCACACCGAAGUGAAUCCUCAAAAGCACCAUGGGAAACAUUGUAAGAGAAGCAUCUAAAAGCAUUACUAAUCGAAGGCAGGUGCUGGUUUUCAAAUAUCUA